rnacentral:rRNA from 1 species
GAUGAACGCUGGCAGCGUGCCUAAUACAUGCAAGUCGAGCGAACAGACGAGGAGCUUGCUCCUCUGACGUUAGCGGCGGACGGGUGAGUAACACGUGGAUAACCUACCUAUAAGACUGGGAUAACUUCGGGAAACCGGAGCUAAUACCGGAUAAUAUAUUGAACCGCAUGGUUCAAUAGUGAAAGACGGUUUUGCUGUCACUUAUAGAUGGAUCCGCGCCGCAUUAGCUAGUUGGUAAGGUAACGGCUUACCAAGGCAACGAUGCGUAGCCGACCUGAGAGGGUGAUCGGCCACACUGGAACUGAGACACGGUCCAGACUCCUACGGGAGGCAGCAGUAGGGAAUCUUCCGCAAAGGGCGAAAGCUUGACGGAGCAACGCCGCGUGAGUGAUGAAGGUCUUCGGAUCGUAAAACUCUGUUAUUAGGGAAGAACAAAUGUGUAAGUAACUAUGCACGUCUUGACGGUACCUAAUCAGAAAGCCACGGCUAACUACGUG